rnacentral:ncRNA from 2 species
AUUAAAAUAAGUUGUCCAGGUGCUCGCCAGAGCGUAACAGGGAAUCCCGUGCAAAUCGGGAACGGACCCGCCGCUGUAAUCGGGGACGAAAGCCGCAAAAUGUCACUGCCCGCAGGUUGUCGGGUGGGAAGACGCGGCCGGUAGGAUGAACCGAGAGUCAGAAGACCUGCCCGGACAACCGGACGCCU